rnacentral:lncRNA from 1 species
CUUGGCGCGGGCCCGGGGCUGGCCAGCAGCCUGCUCCGCGCGGAUCCGGGGAAUGCGUGAGAGGAGAGCAGCUCUGAGCCCUGCUUCCAAGGGGCGCGCCCGGUUAUUCCCCUCGCUCCCUCAGUCCGACCCCGGGCGCUCCCCCGCGGAGAUUGGUGUGUGAGCAGAACAGCUUGAGAAUGUGUUCUAGGACCUGGUUACCUUUCCUUCAUCAUCUCUCAACCCAUGUGUAUAUUGGGAAAAUCAGAGACCGGUCAAGUCAUGCCUCCAAGAAGGGCUUGACCAGGGUGGGCUUUGUGGUCCCACCAAGAAGCUUGGACUUCAUCCUGUUGGGGGAUGGACCAAAGGAGGGGUGUGAGCAGAGAGGCAUCCACAAGGAUGGCUCAUCCUCCACCCACUUCAAUCACCAGUGUUGUACAGCCAUUGGGGAUUACACGUGCAGCUUUGUAGCUUGUGAGAGGUUUGACGCAUGCACCUCUGAGAUAUGCUUCAGUGAUAGCAGUCUUAGCUCCUCCAUUGCACACAUGAGGAGGGUAAGUGGCCAGCCUAUAAGGCAGAGAGGACACUUGCCCUAAGAGAGGCACAGGUAGAAAGACAGAAACAAACGUGUAUCAAGCUCCCUGCUCUGUGCUAGGCCCUGGCUUGUGUGAGCUUGCCCAGUCCUCACAGCCACCACACAAGGGGUGAUCACCCCCACCGCUUUGCACAUGGGGUGCAGGGAAGUAAAGUGACUUGUCCUGGAUCACACAAGGAGUAAGUAGUAAAGCUGAGAUUCACACCAAGUCUUCCAGAGCCUCAAACCUGUACGCUUUUCCUGCCUCCCAAGGCUGGGAGAGGGAGCACCUGUAACAGCAGAACUACUGGACGAAAGCAAAUUCCCAUCCAUCGCCUCCACAGCCCUGGGAGAGACGAGGUUUUGCCAUGUUAGCCAAGAUGGUCUCAAGCUCCUGACCUCGUGAUCCGCCCAUCUCAACCUCCCAAAGCGCUGGGAUUACAGGCGUGAGCCACCGCGCCCAGCUGAAAUCAUUUCUUCAAAUACAACCUUGAGAGCCCAAGAAGUGACAGGGAUGACAGGCUGCUGGGGUGGUCCCACAGUUCCUCAGGGUUUGUCUCUCACUUGCCCAGCCCACACACCCUAUCUCCAGGGCUCUGUGGAACACAGUUUGAAACUCCUGCUGCACAGAAUAGCAAGUGCAGGGCCAGGGGAUGCACUGAAGACGGGCAUUCAGGUGGAUGCCCCCUGCACACUGUGGAAAGGCACCCUGGUGGGCUGGCACCUGGUCAGACCCAUCUUCCUGAGCAAGGGCACUGGACACUCGUGGCUCCCCAUAGUUCUUAGGAUGAGGCCCCAGCUCCUUAACUUGGCAUUCAAGGCCUCACAUCAUCCUGCUCCUGCCACUCUCUCCAGCCGCCUCCACUCCUCUCCCACCGCCAUGCUCUAAUGUGGGUCCAGCUCCCUAGGCCCAUCAGGCAGGGACAAAGCUGAUUCUGAGCAGAUCUGGCACAAGGAAGUCACCAGAAAACACUAUUGGGUUCCUCAAGGGUAAAGACUGGAUCUUAUCCAUCUUGUUGCCCAUUCCUGCCUCUGCAAUCAUGUGCACUCUGGGAACUUGGAAAAUACAUUGUGGCAUCCAGUAUUAAAUCUCAUGGUACCUAGA